CCUACGGGAGGCAGCAGUGAGGAAUAUUGGUCAAUGGGCGAGAGCCUGAACCAGCCAAGUCGCGUGAAGGAUGACGGCCCUACGGGUUGUAAACUUCUUUUGUCAGGGAGCAAUUGGGUCCACGCGUGGGCUUAGCGAGAGUACCUGAAGAAAAAGCAUCGGCUAACUCCUUGCCAGCCGCCGCGGUAAUACGGAGGAUGCGGGCGUUAGCCGGAUUUAUUGGGUUAAAAGGGGGCUGUGGCGGAAGAUCAAUUCAGUGGUAAAAAUUCGGGGCGCAACCCCGUCGUGCCGUUGAAACUGAUGAUCUGGAGUGGGCGAGAAGUAUGCGGAAUGCGUGGUGUAGCGGUGAAAUGCAUAGAUAUCACGAAGAACUCCGAUUGCGAAGGCAGCAUACCGGCGCCCAACUGACGCUGAAGCACGAAAGCGUGGGUAUCGAACAGGAUUAGAUACCCUUGUAGUC
rnacentral:rRNA from 1 species